rnacentral:rRNA from 1 species
AGAGUUUGAUCAUGGCUCAGGAUGAACGCUAGCGGCAGGCCUAAUACAUGCAAGUCGAACGGUAAAUAUUCAGCAAUGGAUAUGAGAGUGACGUACGGGUGCGUAACACGUAUGCAACCUACCCUUUACAGGCGGAUAGCUCGGGGAAACUCGAAUUAACCCGUCAUAAGAUCAUAGAGUGGCAUCACUUAGUGAUUAAAAUUACGGUGGUAAAGGAUGGGCAUGCGUCUGAUUAGUUAGUUGGCGGGGUAACGGCCCACCAAGACGAUGAUCAGUAGGGGAACUGAGAGGUUGAUCCCCCACACUGGCACUGAGAUACGGGCCAGACUCCUACGGGAGGCAGCAGUAGGGAAUAUUGGUCAAUGGAUGGAAGUCUGAACCAGCCAUGCCGCGUGCAGGAAGAAGGCCUUCUGGGUUGUAAACUGCUUUUGCCAGGGGCUAAAAAGCUCAUGCGUGAGAAAUUGAAAGUACCUGGUGAAUAAGCCACGGCUAACUACGUGCCAGCAGCCGCGGUAAUACGUAGGUGGCAAGCGUUGUCCGGAUUUAUUGGGUUUAAAGGGUGCGUAGGCGGCUUUGUAAGUCAGUGGUGAAAUAUGGCAGCUCAACUGUCAGGGUGCCAUUGAUACUGCAGAGCUUGAGUACAGAUGAGGUAGGCGGAAUUGACGGUGUAGCGGUGAAAUGCUUAGAUAUCGUCAAGAACACCUAUAGCGAAGGCAGCUUACUAGGCUGUAACUGACGCUGAGGCACGAAAGUGUGGGGAUCAAACAGGAUUAGAUACCCUAGUAGUCC